AUGGAAGUUCCCAGGCUGGGGUCGAAUCGGAGCUACAGCUACUGGCCUACACCACAACCACAGCAAUGCCAGAUCUGAGCUGCAUCUGUGACCUACACCACAUCUCAUGGCAAUGGUGAACCCUCAUCCUCAUGGUUCCCAGUCGGAUUUGUUAACCACUGCACCACGGCGGGAACUCCUUUUUUUUUUCUUUUGAAUUUGUUGACCCCACAUUUCUCAGAAGCUUCCGUUUACUAAAUUUUCAACAAGCUCACAAACCUACCAGAUUUGCUUCCCAAAAUUCCAAGCUCUGGUUUUCUUUGAGAACAAGGCAAACUGUCUGGAUACACACUUAAAGUUAUAAACAUAGAGGGCACAAAGUCUGAGAGCUUCCAACACUUGGCUCAUCAGAAACACUAGAGAAAGAGAAGAAGGGAGGGAAGGGGUGUGUGUGUGUGUGUGUGUGUGUGUGAAGGACGUAAAUAUUCGUGUGAUUUCUCUUUCAUGCUAGAAAGCAUCUGGGAUUUGGUACAAGGCUUGAGGCUUGAGAUUGGAGUUGUGUUCUGAAGAAACGAGGGGGACUUGAGAGGGCUGAAAGAGGUAGCACGAUGAAUCUCAAUGUGACAUGUAAACAAAGGAAAUGAGUAAUUGAAAAUAUCCUGUCUGUGUAUUCAUUUUCUGCAUACACGGACAAAGGCCAGGGUAUGAAACAAAUAGUUUCGGCCUUACUGUUACUUUGCUCUAUUAAAAAAAAAAAAAAGUAACAUAGAAGUAUUUCCAUAAAUUUCAUAAAAUUCUAUUCAAGAAGGAAAAAUACCAUACUGUUUUUGUCCACAUUGGAAAAUUCCUUUUCAAAUAGUUUGGGUAAAUUAUUGGGAGACGUGUCAGAGGAUUAAGCUUUCCUGGUUAAACCUAGAAAGUAAAACCUCAUAAAAUGAUGCCUUUGGAGCAGAUUUUGGAGUCAAACAGUUCGAGACAAAUAUUUCAGUGUCCCAUUAUAAGAAUGAUUUCUUGACUUUUAGGCUUGAGGUUUUCCUUUUCUGGGAGAACUGCCCACAUCGGCCUUCUCCUGCCCUUCCCCAGGAUGUGCAGACACAGUGAACUAAGCUCUUCCUGCUAUAAAAAAGACUGUCCAGAGCAAGACUGCCCAUCAGAAAUAGAGCGCCCACUAUGAGUAUAAUUUUCAAUGUUUUAGUAGCCACAUUUAAAAAAGUAAACACAGGAAUUCCCUGGUGGUGCAGUGGGUUGGGGAUCUGGCAUUGUCACUGCUGUGGCAUGGGUUCAGUCCCUGGCCCAGGAUCUUCCACAUGCUGUAGGUGUGGUCAAAAAAAGUAAAAGUAAAUAGAUGAAAUUAACUUUAUUUAUAUAUUUUAUUUAACUCAAUAUAUCCAAAAUACUAUUAAGUUAACAUGUUGAAAGCAGCUCUCUGGCCCCUUUCCUGUUUGGCUUCUUCUGUUCCCCUCUAACCUUUAAAGAACCUAAUUAACCUGUUGAUUCUUUUCCUAGAUAAAAAGAAGCAAGAAUAAAGAAUUAAGCAGUAUAAAAAUGACUAGCUCUCUUCCCCCAGCAUCUCCCUUAGCAAUCCUGCAGGCAGAUCAUGGAGGUAAGGUAAACUGUAGAGUCAACCGGUCUACAUGCAACAAGUAAAGUGGCAAAUUUAAUAAUGUAUCUAAAAGAUGCACAGCCAUAUAUAUGUCUAAUUCUACCUUAACUUUUUUCAACCUUUUCUGU
rnacentral:lncRNA from 1 species